rnacentral:rRNA from 1 species
AAUGAACGUUGGCGGCGUGGAUUAGGCAUGCAAGUCGCGCGAUUUCCUUCGGGGAAGAGCGGCGGAAGGGAGAGUAACGCGUAGAUACCUACCCUCGGGACUGGAAUAGCGACGGGAAACUGUCGGUAAUGCCAGAUAACGUCCCUGGACCAAAGGUGUGAAUCCGCCUGAGGAGGGGUCUGCAUCCUAUUAGCUAGUUGGCGGGGUAACGGCCCACCAAGGCGAAGAUGGGUACCGGGCGUGAGAGCGUGACCCGGCUCACUGGGACUGGGACACUGCCCAGACACCUACGGGUGGCUGCAGUCGAGAAGCUUCGGCAAUGAGUGCAAGCUUGACCGAGCGACGCCGCGUGCGGGAUGAAGGCUUUCGGGUUGUAAACCGCUGUCAGUGGGGAGGAAAUUCUUGGGGGUACUCCCCCUUGAUUGACCGAUCCGCAGAGGAAGGACGGGCUAAGUUCGUGCCAGCAGCCGCCGUAACAC